UACCAGACUCCUACGGGAGGCAGCAGUGGGGAAUAUUGCACAAUGGGGGAAACCCUGAUGCAGCGACGCCGCGUGAGCGAUGAAGUAUUUCGGUAUGUAAAGCUCUAUCAGCAGGGAAGAAGAUGACGGUACCUGACUAAGAAGCCCCGGCUAACUACGUGCCAGCAGCCGCGGUAAUACGUAGGGGGCAAGCGUUAUCCGGAUUUACUGGGUGUAAAGGGAGCGUAGACGGCGAUGCAAGCCAGAUGUGAAAGCCCGGGGCUCACCCCCGGGACUGCAUUUGGAACUGUGUGGCUGGAGUGUCGGAGAGGCAGGCGGAAUUCCUAGUGUAGCGGUGAAAUGCGUAGAUAUUAGGAGGAACACCAGUGGCGAAGGCGGCCUGCUGGACGAUGACUGACGUUGAGGCUCGAAAGCGUGGGGAGCAAACAGGAUUAGAUACCCCAGUA
rnacentral:rRNA from 1 species